UUACGGUCAUAUCAUGUUGAAACACCAGUUCUCGUAUGAUCACCCAAGUUAAGCAACGUCGUACCUGGUCAGUACUUAGAUGUGUAACAGCUUGGGAAUAUCAGGUGCU